rnacentral:rRNA from 1 species
AGGGUUUGAUCCUGGCUCAGAUUGAACGCUGGCGGCAGGCCUAACACAUGCAAGUCGAGCGGUAACACAGGGAGCUUGCUCCUGGGUGACGAGCGGCGGACGGGUGAGUAAUGUCUGGGAAACUGCCUGAUGGAGGGGGAUAACUACUGGAAACGGUAGCUAAUACCGCAUAACGUCUUCGGACCAAAGUGGGGGACCUUCGGGCCUCAUGCCAUCAGAUGUGCCCAGAUGGGAUUAGCUAGUAGGUGGGGUAAUGGCUCACCUAGGCGACGAUCCCUAGCUGGUCUGAGAGGAUGACCAGCCACACUGGAACUGAGACACGGUCCAGACUCCUACGGGAGGCAGCAGUGGGGAAUAUUGCACAAUGGGCGCAAGCCUGAUGCAGCCAUGCCGCGUGUAUGAAGAAGGCCUUCGGGUUGUAAAGUACUUUCAGCGAGGAGGAAGGCAUUAAGGUUAAUAACCUUAGUGAUUGACGUUACUCGCAGAAGAAGCACCGGCUAACUCCGUGCCAGCAGCCGCGGUAAUACGGAGGGUGCAAGCGUUAAUCGGAAUUACUGGGCGUAAAGCGCACGCAGGCGGUCUGUCAAGUCGGAUGUGAAAUCCCCGGGCUCAACCUGGGAACUGCAUUCGAAACUGACAGGCUAGAGUCUUGUAGAGGGGGGUAGAAUUCCAGGUGUAGCGGUGAAAUGCGUAGAGAUCUGGAGGAAUACCGGUGGCGAAGGCGGCCCCCUGGACAAAGACUGACGCUCAGGUGCGAAAGCGUGGGGGAGCAAACAGGAUUAGAUACCCUGUAGUCCACGCCGUAAACGAUGUCUAUUUGGAGGUUGUGUCCUUGAGACGUGGCUUCCGGAGCUAACGCGUUAAAUAGACCGCCUGGGGAGUACGGCCG